AUCCGGAAUCUCCGUUCUGAGGAGGCGACGCUCUCCGUCUCCCUCCCUCGGUUCCAAUCGAACCAGAAAAUCCAGAAUCCGUCAGCUACAAUGACCUCGGGAUCCGAUCAAUCUCGUAGGGUUGGCUCAAUAAACUCACCGGUUUCGUGGACGACAUAGAACGAAGAUGUCGGAUAGCUCUUCGUAUCUUCCGAGAGAGAUCAGCGGAAGAACCCCGAUCUGCUCAACCUCGUUAACGAUUUCUUCAACACCAACUCCGAAUUAUCCCUUCUCUGCGAAUCUCUGUAGACAUGUCUGGAAAAAUCUGAUCUGUGAGAAACCCUAAUUCUCGGAACUUUGUCCGGUUUGAUGGAGGAAAAAAGAGAAGAAGGGAGUUUUAGUAUAACGGGGAUUCAAAGAUUUCUCCGGCGAGUGACGACCCUUUCGUCAUAGUGAGGAUAUACGUUCAGAAUCAUUAGUGGGCGGGGAGGACAUAAAGAUCGCGGAGGAACGCGUCGUAGUUCUUAACAGUAACAGUUGCAUUCGGACAUGAAGGGAGAAGAGAAGGAGAACUUGUCUCUAGACAGGCAAAGAGGAAUCAACUUCCGAACUUCACCGACAGGCGAUACGUGACCUGGAACCGGUAGUAUCCGAGUGGCAUUCCAGUUUCAACGUGACUUCAUAGAGUCAAUUCAGGCCUGGUUCAGGCUAACCCGUGUUCCAGUCUACAACGACGAUGCCAACCAGAAAGAGCAGGUAGAUGCUUACUACUUUCGCGAUGAAUGGAAGGUUGCCUUGAUGAGAGCCAUGAUGCUAAAUAACCUUCAGAUCAGACGGGGUUGCUUGGUUGGUGCUUUCCAAGCCUUAACCAGUUUCUCUUCUCUCUAGUCUCUUCUCCGAGUCCCUUCAAACGGUAUGCACCCGUUCCUACUCUACCAAAUAGAUCAUUGUGUAUAUAUGUGUAUACAUAUAUGAGAUCAAGAAAUGUUUACAGGUUAACCAAAAAAAUAAAUCAAGGAAACUCUUUACAGUUUCAUAAAUUGUCA